rnacentral:rRNA from 1 species
UCGAACGAGAAAGCAGGAGCAAUCUUGUGAGUAAAGUGGCGUACGGGUGAGUAACACGUGGAUCAUCUACCCUCUUGUGGGGGAUAACUCUGGGAAACCGGAGCUAAUACCGCAUAAGUCCGAGAGGAGAAAGCAGCAAUGCGCAGGAGGAGGAGUCCGCGGCCGAUUAGCUAGUUGGUAGGGUAAAAGCCUACCAAGGCUGAGAUCGGUAGCCGGCCUGAGAGGGCACACGGCCGCACUGGCACUGAAACACGGGCCAGACUCCUACGGGAGGCAGCAGUGGGGAAUCUUGCACAAUGGGGGAAACCCUGAUGCAGCGACGCCGCGUGAGCGAUGAAGCCCUUCGGGGUGUAAAGCUCUUUCGGCAGGGAAGAUUAUGACGGUACCUGCAGAAGCAGCUGCGGCUAACUACGUGCCAGCAGCCGCGGUAAUACGUAGGCAGCAAGCGUUGUUCGGAGUUACUGGGCGUAAAGGGUGUGUAGGCGGUCCUCUAAGUUUGGUGUGAAAUCUCCCGGCUCAACUGGGAGGGUGCGCCGAAAACUGGGGGGCUAGAGUACUGGAUGGGAGAGUGGAAUUCCUGGUGUAGCGGUGAAAUGCGUAGAUAUCAGGAGGAACACCUGUGGGUGUAGACGGCUCUCUGGACAGUAACUGACGCUGAGACACGAAAGCGUGGGUAGCAAACAGGAUUAGAUACCCUGGUAGUCCACGCCCUAAACGAUGCAUNAUUUGGUGUGGGCCAUUCAUUUGGUCCGUGCCGGAGCUAACGCGUUAAAUAUGCCGCCGUGGGGAGUACGGUCGCAAGGCUGAAACU